rnacentral:rRNA from 1 species
CGCCAGACUCCACGGGAGGCAGCAGUGGGGAAUAUUGCACAAUGGGGGAAACCCUGAUGCAGCAACGCCGCGUGAGUGAAGAAGUAUUUCGGUGUGUAAAGCUCUAUCAGCAGGGAAGAGAAUGACGGUACCUGACUAAGAAGCCCCGGCUAACUACGUGCCAGCAGCCGCGGUAAUACGUAGGGGGCGAGCGUUAUCCGGAUUUACUGGGUGUAAAGGGAGCGUAGACGGUUCUGCAAGUCUGAAGUGAAAGCCCGUGGCUUAACCGCGGAACGGCUUUGGAAACUGUGGAACUGGAGUACUGGAGAGGCAAGCGGAAUUCCUAGUGUAGCGGUGAAAUGCGUAGAUAUUAGGAGGAACACCAGUGGCGAAGGCGGCUUGCUGGACAGUAACUGACGUUGAGGCUCGAAAGCGUGGGGAGCAAACAGGAUUAGAUACCCUCGUAUAA